rnacentral:rRNA from 1 species
UACGUAGGGUGCGAGCGUUGUCCGGAAUUAUUGGGCGUAAAGGGCUCGUAGGCGGUUUGUCGCGUCGGGCGUGAAAACUCAGGGCUUAACCCUGAGCCUGCUUCCGAUACGGGCAGACUAGAGGUAUGCAGGGGAGAACGGAAUUCCUGGUGUAGCGGUGAAAUGCGCAGAUAUCAGGAGGAACACCGGUGGUGAAGGCGGUUCUCUGGGCAUUACCUGACGCUGAGGAGCGAAAGUGUGGGGAGCGAACAGG